rnacentral:rRNA from 1 species
UACGAAGGGGGCUAGCGUUGCUCGGAAUCACUGGGCGUAAAGCGCACGUAGGCGGGUUCUUAAGUCGGUGGUGGAAUCCUGGAGCUCAACUCCAGAACUGCCUCCGAUACUGAGAGCCUCGAGUCCGGGAGAGGUGAGUGGAACUGCGAGUGUAGAGGUGAAAUUCGUAGAUAUUCGCAAGAACACCAGUGGCGAAGGCGGCUCACUGGCCCGAUACUGACGCUGAGGCACGAAAGCGUGGGGAGCAAACAGG